CCUACGGGAGGCAGCAGUGGGGAAUAUUGCACAAUGGGGGAAACCCUGAUGCAGCGACGCCGCGGGAGUGAAGAAGGAUUUAGGUAUGUAAAGCUCUAUCAGCAGGGAAGAAGAAAGACGGUACCUGACUAAGAAGCCCCGGCUAACUACGUGCCAGCAGCCGCGGUAAUACGUAGGGGGCAAGCGUUAUCCGGAUUUAAGGGGUGGAAAGGGAGCGUAGACGGCUGUGCAAGUCUGAAGUGAAAGCCCAGGGCUCAACCCUGGGACUUCUUUGGAAACUGUGGAGCUAGAGUGCUGGAGAGGUAAGUGGAAUUCCUAGUGUAGCGGUGAAAUGCGUAGAUAUUAGGAGGAACACCAGUGGCGAAGGCGGCUUACUGGACAGUAACUGACGUUGAGGCUCGAAAGCGUGGGGAGCAAACAGGAUUAGAUACCCGAGUAGUC
rnacentral:rRNA from 1 species